rnacentral:rRNA from 1 species
UACAGAGGUCUCAAGCGUUGUUCGGAUUCAUUGGGCGUAAAGGGUGCGUAGGCGGCGCGGUAAGUCGGGAUGUGAAAUCUCGGAGCUUAACUCCGAAACUGCAUUCGAUACUGCCGUGCUUGAGGACUGGAGAGGAGACUGGAAUUUACGGUGUAGCGGUGAAAUGCGUAGAUAUCGUAAGGAAGACCAGUGGCGAAGGCGGGUCUCUGGACAGUUCCUGACGCUGAGGCACGAAGGUCCAGGGGAGCAAACGGGAUUAGA